rnacentral:rRNA from 1 species
CUAUUGUACCCUGUUGCUUCGGCGGGCCCGCCGCUUGUCGGCCGCCGGGGGGGCGCCUCUGCCCCCCGGGCCCGUGCCCGCCGGAGACCCCAACACGAACACUGUCUGAAAGCGUGCAGUCUGAGUUGAUUGAAUGCAAUCAGUUAAAACUUUCAACAAUGGAUCUCUUGGUUCCGGCAUCGAUGAAGAACGCAGCGAAAUGCGAUAACUAAUGUGAAUUGCAGAAUUCAGUGAAUCAUCGAGUCUUUGAACGCACAUUGCGCCCCCUGGUAUUCCGGGGGGCAUGCCUGUCCGAGCGUCAUUGCUGCCCUCAAGCCCGGCUUGUGUGUUGGGUCGCCGUCCCCCUCUCCGGGGGGACGGGCCCGAAAGGCAGCGGCGGCACCGCGUCCGAUCCUCGAGCGUAUGGGGCUUUGUCACAUGCUCUGUAGGAUUGGCCGGCGCCUGCCGACGUUUUCCAACCAUUCUUUCCAGGUUGACCUCGGAUCAGGUAGGGAUACCCGCUGAACUUAAGCA